GACGAACGCUGGCGGCGUGCUUAACACAUGCAAGUCGAACGAUGAAGCCCAGCUUGCUGGGUGGAUUAGUGGCGAACGGGUGAGUAACACGUGGGUGAUCUGCCCUGCACUUCGGGAUAAGCCUGGGAAACUGGGUCUAAUACCGGAUAUGACCAAGGACUGCAUGGUUUUUGGUGGAAAGGUUUACUGGUGCAGGAUGAGCCCGCGGCCUAUCAGCUUGUUGGUGGGGUAAUGGCCUACCAAGGCGACGACGGGUAGCCGGCCUGAGAGGGCGACCGGCCACACUGGGACUGAGACACGGCCCAGACUCCUACGGGAGGCAGCAGUGGGGAAUAUUGCACAAUGGGCGAAAGCCUGAUGCAGCGACGCCGCGUGAGGGAUGACGGCCUUCGGGUUGUAAACCUCUUUCAGCAGGGACGAAGCGCAAGUGACGGUACCUGCAGAAGAAGCACCGGCCAACUACGUGCCAGCCGCCGCGGUAA
rnacentral:rRNA from 1 species